rnacentral:rRNA from 1 species
CGGUGAACACGGAGCUUGCUCUGUGGGAUCAGUGGCGAACGGGUGAGUAACACGUGAGCAACCUGCCCCUGACUCUGGGAUAAGCGCUGGAAACGGCGUCUAAUACUGGAUACGAGUAGCGGCCGCAUGGUCAGUUACUGGAAAGAUUUUUUGGUUGGGGAUGGGCUCGCGGCCUAUCAGCUUGUUGGUGAGGUAAUGGCUCACCAAGGCGUCGACGGGUAGCCGGCCUGAGAGGGUGACCGGCCACACUGGGACUGAGACACGGCCCAGACUCCUACGGGAGGCAGCAGUGGGGAAUAUUGCACAAUGGGCGAAAGCCUGAUGCAGCAACGCCGCGUGAGGGAUGACGGCCUUCGGGUUGUAAACCUCUUUUAGCAGGGAAGAAGCGAAAGUGACGGUACCUGCAGAAAAAGCGCCGGCUAACUACGUGCCAGCAGCCGCGGUAAUACGUAGGGCGCAAGCGUUAUCCGGAAUUAUUGGGCGUAAAGAGCUCGUAGGCGGUUUGUCGCGUCUGCUGUGAAAUCCCGAGGCUCAACCUCGGGCCUGCAGUGGGUACGGGCAGACUAGAGUGCGGUAGGGGAGAUUGGAAUUCCUGGUGUAGCGGUGGAAUGCGCAGAUAUCAGGAGGAACACCGAUGGCGAAGGCAGAUCUCUGGGCCGUAACUGACGCUGAGGAGCGAAAGGGUGGGGAGCAAACAGGCUUAGAUACCCUGGUAGUCCACCCCGUAAACGUUGGGAACUAGUUGUGGGGUCCAUUCCACGGAUUCCGUGACGCAGCUAACGCAUUAAGUUCCCCGCCUGGGGAGUAC